UAGGCGACAGUUUUUCUAUAUAUGCAAUAUUUUGUUUCGUAUUUUUCAAUAUUUUGAACAGACCAGACGUGUCGCUAUGAAAAGAGGAAGUCGCGACGAGCGUGUUUUGUGCUCUGCUGUAAAGCGCGUAAUACGGGCGCAAGACGUUUCUGAAGCGUGGCUGGCUGAACGACGGAUGAACGAACGACGGCUCACUUGACCGCAGUUUGGUAGAGAGGGGAGGCGCCUUAGGCAAUUUAGUAUAAAGCUGCAUGCUGUUUCUUCCUCCGUUCCUGGCCGCUGGAUGUCCGUCGCCCUCAGCCUUUGCUGCCCGCGGCACGGGCCGGGGUCCUGACACACACUGUACUGUUCCAGCCCCCGCAGAGACACAUCUCUUAUCGGCUGAUCACAGAGAGGCAUAAGUUAUGAAUACAUGCUGGGAAAUGAGUUGUGUCAAUCAAAGGAGCAGCUCCGUGUCGUGUUUCUCUCAGGCGGAGCGAUCCGCUCUGCGCGCCUGCCUCGUGUGUGACCCACGCUGCACAUCCAUCCGUGCUUCACCCCUGACCCCGCAAAGCAGAACCAGGUGUGUGCUGUGUCGGCGCGGAGGAGGACCCCUGCCCACGCUGAGUGACGGCUCUGAGGGGGGGCUUCUGCCGAGGACCCCGCCGGGCCUCCCGCGUUCAUUACGAUGACAAUUACGAGACAGCGAAAGUGAUGAGUUAUGAGUAAUAACGUAAACAUACAGCCAAAAUCCACCCAGUGACUCUAUGAACUAUUUUCAUGAGUGCAACCACUAAGCAACCAGAUAAAAUACUAUGAAUCAAUUAUGGUUUUCUAUUCAGGACAGACGUUAUUGAUCUGUUUUUGUUUUUUACAUACAAGGAAAAUCAAUCAAAAUAGGAACUAGUCCUCAGAUGCCCUUUUUUUUUAAACAUACAGUUUGUGUGGUUUAUCACAUUCGACUGGCACUUUGUUUAUGUUGCGACAUAAUGUUUUGUUGUUGUGAUGUUGUUUUAUGAGGUCAUCUGGUACAAAACAAACUUGUUGAGCUGUGUUAGUUGUGUGUUAUUGUGUUACUGUGUUAUUUUAAAGUUAAAAUGCUGUUUAGAAACUACUCAGAUUCCACUAAUGGGCCUCAAGAUGAUGCACAAAACAAAAGACCACUCCUCCUCUACCAGAACCUGACCUGGUUUAUGUUGUUCCCUUUCUAUGAAAUAAUGUUGUACAUGUAGAUACAGAGACAUUCACAAAAGCUUUGGUUUCUUUCGAUCUUUAUAAAUGCUGUUACAUGUGGUACAACUUUUUCCUGAAACAUUGUUCCUCCUUUAAACAUCAAAACAUCACAGUUGCAAAGCAGAACCUGGCAAACAUUAUUAAAGCGCAAGAAAGACGCAUUAACGCA